AACUAACAAGGAUUCCCCUAGUAACUGCGAGUGAAGCGGGAAAAGCUCAAAUUUAAAAUCUGGGGGUCCCUGUGGCCCUCCGAGUUGUAAUCUAGAGAAGUGCUAUCCGCGCUGGACCGUGUACAAGUCUCCUGGAACGGAGCGUCAUAGAGGGUGAGAAUCCCGUCUUUGACACGGACUACCAGGGCUUAUGUGAUGUGCUCUCAAAGAGUCGAGUUGUUUGGGAAUGCAGCUCUAAAUGGGUGGUAAAUUCCAUCUAAAGCUAAAUAUUGGCGAGAGACCGAUAGCGAACAAGUACCGUGAGGGAAAGAUGAAAAGAACUUUGGAAAGAGAGUUAAACAGUACGUGAAAUUGUUGAAAGGGAAACGCUUGAAGUCAGUCGCGUUGCCCAGAAAUCAACCUUGCUUUUGCUUGGUGUACUUUCUGGUUAACGGGUCAGCAUCAAUUUUGACCGGUGGAUAAAGGUCAGGGGAAUGUGGCAUCUUUGGAUGUGUUAUAGCCCUUGGUUGCAUACAUCGAUUGGGAUUGAGGAACUCAGCAUGCCGCAAGGCCGGGUUUUUAACCACGUACAUGCUUAGGAUGCUGGCAUAAUGGCUUUAAUCGACCCGUCUUGAAACACGGACCAAGGAGUCUAACAUGCACGCGAGUGUUUGGGUGGAAAACCCGAGCGCGUAAUGAAAGUGAAAAUUGAGAUCCCUGUCGUGGGGAGCAUCAAUGCCCGGACCAGACCUUUUGUGACGGAUCCGCGGUUGAGCGUGUAUGCUGGGACCCGAAAGAUGGUGAACUAUGCCUGAAUAGGGUGAAGCCAGAGGAAACUCUGGUGGAGGCUCGUAGCGAUUCUGACGUGCAAAUCGAUCGUCAAAUUUGGGUAUAGGGGCGAAAGACUAAUCGAACCAUCUAGUAG
rnacentral:rRNA from 1 species